CACGUAGGGUGCAAGCGUUGUCCGGAAUCAUUGGGCGUAAAGAGCUCGUAGGCGGCUUAGUAAGUCGGGUGUGAAACCUCCAGGCUCAACCUGGAGACGCCACCCGAUACUGCUAUAGCUAGAGUCCAGUAGGGGAGUGCGGAAUUCCCGGUGUAGCGGUGAAAUGCGCAGAUAUCGGGAGGAACACCAGCGGCGAAGGCGGCUUACUGGUCCGGUUCUGACGCUGAGGCGCGAAAGCGUGGGGAGCAAACAGG
rnacentral:rRNA from 1 species